rnacentral:lncRNA from 1 species
GGAACAUCUGCCAAUUUUGCACAAUCAUCUGCCAGAAAUUCCAAGCAACCACAGAGAAAGGAUGUAAUGGAAGGAUGGAAAGGUAUUGAGCCAAGAUCCAGAAUUCUAAUCACAGAGAGAAGACAUGCAUGUAACAGGCCGUGUAAAACAGACACAGCCCUGGAGCCUCAUCUCCCUGAGUCCUUGCUGUUCUCAGAGAAGGAAAAAUCACUUCGAGCUUCAGUUGGUGUCUUUUACAUCCAAGAAUCUGGAUGGGAAUUGGAGCACAGAGUUUUUCCUUGGGAGGAAACAGUUUUGCCUUUUCCAGAAGAUUCUACAGUUGGAAUCAUGCAGUAUGGACCCUUAUUGGAUUGGCUUCUUUCACUUAGUCAUGAGCAUUUAAGUUUCCCUGUGUCUUUUCAUGACUUGAAAUGAUAGCUCAUUUCCUGCCACCAUACUUUUAGUGUAAGCACCAAGUUUUCAUUCUUCCUGCCCCCACCUUGACAAAGCAUACAUCUUAGAAUCAUUUCCUUGCCACCAACUUCCCCUGUGUGGGUGAGAGAAAAUCAGAUUACACACCAAAGUCUAAACAUCGUGCUUCUCCACUGGUUUCCUGGUACCCAGUGUCCUCCUGGGCUUCGAGAUUUCCUGUUUGAAAACCAAAUGUGUUUGCCACCUUGUGGUCUGUAUUUUUAAAUUUGUUUUUAGCCAGAUAUUGUUAUCAAUAAAUUCAUUGCCUAGGGCCGUA